AACGUAGGAGCCAAGCGUUAUCCGAAUUUACUGGGCGUAAAGCGCGUGCAGGCGGCCAGGUAAGUUGGCUGUGAAAUCUCCCGGCUCAACUGGGAGGGGACGGUCAAGACUGCCUGACUGGAGGCAGGUAGAGGGAGGUGGAAUUCCCGGUGUAGUGGUGAAAUUCGUAGAGAUCAGGAGGAACACCCGAGGCGAAGGCGGGUUCCUGGACAGUGACUGACGCUGAGGCGCGAAAGCGUGGGUAGCAAAC
rnacentral:rRNA from 1 species